rnacentral:lncRNA from 1 species
GUGUGGGCUCAAGAGGAAGCUGGUUUGACCUCCUAUCUUUUGCUCCUCCGCCCCCUAGGGAUAUCCAGAUUACAACCACGUGUAAAGGUGUAGCCUGCUCAAUCGGAAGCUCUGCGAUAGACGAAGUGCUGCAGCUCACCUCCCGUUGCAAGGAUAUGAUAGGUGCCCAGUUGCAGACUGGAGCCGUACUGACUUUCCCCAUAGGCUAUUCCUGUGGGACUUGUCGCCAGACGGCCAUCACUGGGGUAAGAAACGUGGACCUUUACUUGCUAUAAAACUAAGUUUGGGAGAAGCAGUGGUAUCGUGGAGAAACUGGCAGUACCGGUGCUCCUUGUGAUAGUUCUCAUAGCCAGUUCCUCUGCCCAUAAGGAGUCUAAAAGGGCAGGC